UUAAUCAUUUCUAAGAAUCUAUAUAGUAGUAAUAAGUAAUCAUUUGUACUCUGAGCGCAAGCAGCCAAAAACACUUUACCCUUGCCCGACGCAGCCAAUGAUACGGCGUCUACUGCUGCCUAGAUACUCUAGUGAUGGGGAGCGGAAUUCGGAGACGCAGCAGGCAGUACACCUAGAGAGCUGACAGGAAACUGUUUGACGACUCCAGAUCUUGGCAGAGAGAGAAAAACAUGGCAACAGUCUGGGAUGAUCCACAGUUCCUUUCCUUUGAUGAAAACGAGUUCGAUGAUGUAUUUGAACAACCAUCUCCUGCCUCCUUGGAGAUAAAGUCUCAGGAGUGUAGGAUAUCAGAUGCAACUAGCAACUAUAUGCAUGGGUAUAUGACAGGCAGCCCUGCCAACAGCAUCAGCCACAUUGGGAUAGUUUGCCCAGGAAUGGUUACACUUCAUUCGCUAAGCAAUGGACGGGACUCAGGUUAUGGCCCAUCUCCUUCAUUGUUUCAAUCCUUCACAUCAUCCAGUGAUGAGGAUGACUCUGUUGACUUACCUGGGAGAACUCAUCCAGGUGUCACUCCACCGAUAGCAAUUCCUCCUUGUUUGCGUUCUGCUCAAAGGCAUAAGAUAAGUUAUCACUCCCGUCAAGAGAUCAUUCAUAAAGCUGCUCAGAACCCUAUGUUAAUAAGACGAGGCAGGUCAAAGUCUUGUCCUGCCACUUCAAGAGCUUCAGCACGGCAGCGUCUUCCAGUAUCCUUAAGACGUACAUUCACUCCUGUGCCAACCCAUGAGAGCUCUUGCUUCAUACCAAGAGGAGACAACAAUGAACACUGUCACUUGAAGUCUUCUCAUAAAACAGAAAGUGCCAUCAUACAGGAUCCCAAUGAUCUGAGCAGGAAAGAGGGGACCCUUGGCCACCAGUGUCGUGUGUUGGUGUUGGCAUUACCUGACCUUGUGGUAGAGAGUGAGAGAGACUCCCCAGAUUCCAACACCGAGGUGUCUCCAACCCCAGCUUGCUCUAGCAGGUCACGAGCAUUCUCUUGUGAGGUAACCCUUGCUGAGGAGGUUGGGCGAAAGCUGCGGUGGAUUGCUGACUCUUUUUCUGCAACAAAAGCACAAUCAUCUAAUGCAUCACUUUAAGUAAACAGUUACAAUGCCUGCUAUCAAGCGCCCAGCCAUGAUGUCAUGGGAUAUAUGAGUGCUCAUUGGCCAAAACCGCCUUCCCCAGAGAGGCCAGCCACCAGGAUACGUCAGGGACAAGAAAUUUUAAGGAGUGAUGUCUACAACAUCUAGUAUAUGAUCGCCAGCGAGUCUCAGGAUGUGAGGGACGGCCUGUGGAAUCUACUAUGACAGUGACAGUACCAGCCACCUAUUAGCAGUUCAAACCCAGCAUGUAUUUAAGAUGGUUUACUUGGCUAGGUGGAUGCCAUUCACCAUGUUUCUCUAGGCUAAUGGAAGGGCCUAGGAGGAUGUUUAGCAGCCAGCAGCAUUACACCAAGUGCUAGAGAGAAGAAACAUUACCUGUUCUCAGCACAGCCAGUUACAUUGGUGCAUCAUUGCCCCGACACAUGCCAUCUGCUGCCAAUCCACUUAACAUCUGCCUGUUGGGGUGACACCUGUCAUCUACCUUCCAUUAGGACAAUGCCAAGUCCCAGAAUCUUUCUUGCCAUCCACCACCAUCCUAACAUCACCAUGGCUGCAGAUAAGUUCUUCUGUUUUUUUUCACUAUCCCUGCUAAGGGCAGAUUUGGGCCUUCCACUCCUGGUCAUCACCAAGAGCAGGGAGAAAUACUAGGUAGGAUUACCUUUCCUCUACUUGGUUAUUAAGUUUGAAUAUCUUGUUGAGUUUGGUUUUAUAUUUAUACAUCAAUUGAAUAAACAUCUGCUGAAUUGAUAAUUACUUCUAUUGUGAUCUAAUGCACUGAAUGAGGGGAUGCUGUGAACUUAUCAUUAAAGCCAAUGACCUCACAGAAUGUUUCCCCUUGUGUCUCACAAUACUAGGGAGCAGUCACAGCCUGCCCUUUAAAGACUUCCUUCACCCAAAAUUACAUGCCACUUUUUACACACACACACACAGGUAAAAUUGAAAAACUGUUUGAAAAGUAUGAGGGCCUGGAAACGAG
rnacentral:misc_RNA from 1 species